CAGCACCUCGAGUGGUCAGGAUGAUUAUUGGGCCUAAAGCAUCCGUAGCCGGCGCUGUAAGUUUUCGGUUAAAUCUGUACGCUCAACGUACAGGCUGCCGGGAAUACUGCAGCGCUAGGGAGUGGGAGAGGUAGACGGUACUCGGUAGGAAGGGGUAAAAUCCUUUGAUCUAUUGAUGACCACCUGUGGCGAAGGCGGUCUACCAGAACACGUCCGACGGUGAGGGAUGAAAGCUGGGGGAGCAAACCGGAUUAGAUACCCGAGUAGUCC
rnacentral:rRNA from 1 species